AGGUGAUAUUCCUUGUGAGAAUUCUUUGCUAAGGCAAGUGUCAAGCCUCCUGAGAAGAUUGCCAGCCAUUGAAUCAGAAAAAUUCCAAGAUGAUUUUUUGAUGGAAUAUAAUGAUACACUGUUGAUUGCUUACUUGGCUAUGUUCACCAACUGUGCAAGUACGAUGAACGAGUUGGUGGACAAAUUCAACACUGCAUAUGACAGGCACAGUCGUAGGGGUGGACGGACUGCAUUUAUCUGAAAGCUGCUUGCUCUUGUUUUUGGGGAUUUGCUGACUAGUUAAUUCCCUCGCUGCAGCUGUUAUUUAUGAGUGCAGAGCAAAUAGAAGCCUAGGAAUUAUAUUGCCGGACCUUAGACAACUCAAAAAAGAAAUAGAAACCUAAUUAUUUUUUUCAUUUUUUCCCUUGUUCUGUUCUGGAUUUGCAUAUUGCACUGUUUACUUGUUUUUCUCCUCGAGGUGGAAAGAGUUGGCCCUGCCUGCUGCUUAGUGCGUGGGCUCUUGCAUAUCCACUUCCUAUUUGGCGUAUUAUAAUA